rnacentral:ncRNA from 1 species
ACGAGGGUAGGGCACGGGAUUCCUUUUUAGGAAAAUCUGCAGCCUUUACCGGGUUUCUCAAGUUUCGGAAUGAGAAAACCCAUUCAGGGGAUUGAAGUAUAGGAGUACAUAGGAAA